UGAACCAAAAUCACACGGUGCGUUCAUC
rnacentral:sRNA from 1 species